GGCACUUUCGGCUUCGAGCAAGGGGAGGAUGGGCCGCGGCAGCCCCGAGGAUGUCCGGGAAGGAGCCUCCCCCACGGACCGGCCCAGCAGAACCAAGCCGGCACCAGGUCUCCUUGUAGGGGGACUCGGAGUCACUCCCCCCCCCGAAUAAGGAUAUUUCCUGGAAGAGGGCUGGAUGAUAACUUCCCACAGCGCAGCCCUGACGUCUCAUCCCUGAAUAGUGCAGAGAAAGAACUGGGCCUUCUCACCUUCUGAGCUCCAGGGUCUCUGAAGUCUCCCGAAGGGCCAGCAGGGCCCCUUAGCUGUUCUAAUGGGGGGCAUAUUCCAUCAGGCAGGGUCCAGAGUAGAAAAAGCCCCUUUGCUCUGCUUUCCCCCACUCAGCCGAUGGGAUCUGCAGCCUGGCCAAUCUGUUGGACCAGAGAGAUUGGGUGGGUAGAAACUCUUGGGAAAAGAUGGGCCCUCAGGCAGCCAUUACAAUCCAAAGUUGUUUCUCUACAAUUAGUGGGAAAUGAUAUACCCGGAACUUUAAAAUACUUGUGGGCCUGUUAUGUCUUGUGGCAUAAGACAGGUUGCAUCUUUGUAUGUAAAAUUAGGUGACAAACAGCAUGAAGUGACAAAGGAAGGCAAUGAACAUAUUGUAUCUCUGGAAACUGACAUUAAAGGAUGCACCAGAUCUGAAGGAUCUUGUGGAGUGAAAGCGAGGAAAACCUGCAUGGAAGUGAAGGCGUAUGUUUAAUUGUGAACAAAAAGGCUAGAAGAAAGAGCAAAAUCAUGCAUUGUAGGCGGUUGUGGGUGCACUUUAGUGAACGGUGAUAAUGAAAAACAAAACCAAAUAAAAGAUUUGGGGGAAAUCGUGCCACAUUCUAAGUGGCUGGAUUCAGAGGAACAAAUUCUAUCAAGUGAUGUGAAUGGAUGGAUAGAAACUAAAGGAAAAAAACAAGCAAAAGUUAUUGGGACUUUUCCAAAAUUUCAGAAAUGAGCAAAAAAGAAAAAGAUGUCAACAGUACCCAAAUCGAUUCCUAAUAUGGGCCUUAUAUUGUUUCGGAUGCCCAGAAAUAAAAGCCCAGGAAGAGGCUUUUAACAAAAAACCCAAAAAGGAAUGUGGUAGCAUUUUUUCCAACAUCUUUUAUUAAAAGGUGAGAGUUUAGGCCUUUCUGUAAAUAAACAAACAUGAAAUAAAACAAUCCCCUCGGAUGAGCUUUUAAAAAAAUUGCUUAACUCCGUUUUGCUCCAGGUUCCCCCUGGCCUGGCUGACACUAAGGGAGGAAACAAGUCCUGACCCAGAAACCUCCCAGUCAGGGCACUGGCAUUCCUGGAACUCAAUAAUCCGACUUCCUGGACUGAUUUGAAGCGCGAAGGCUUUGCCCAAAUUCUGCCCUUCUGGAGAUCCUCUAAGCUCCUUAGAAUUUUUUGUAACCUUGAUACAGAGACAAAUUCCAAUGUAUCAGUGACUGGGAAGGAGUCUAGCCCAAAUGUUUCUUCUUUGAGGGAGGCAGCUUGGUAGUGAGAUUACUGAAUAAGAUGAGGCAAUACAACAGGUUGUGGGUAAAGCUGUUGAGACCCAUUUGGGGCGGCUACAGGACACGAUCCUUGACACUCAAGUUAUGGGUAUACCGCUAUAGCUCCUUUUCAGUGCCCAUGUCCCCAAACGGCAGGUGUGCAUGGAGACAGGGAUGCUCUCUGGGGGGAGUGUGUGUGUGUGUUAGCAGUGUUCUGUUCGCCCCUUGGGAGUCCAGCCUUGUAACUUUUCUUUUGAGCUUUAGAUGGUCUGGGAGGAAACUGAAUAUUUAUAUUCUCAUUCACAUUUUGGAAUGAAAAAUAAUUUGUGUGAUGCCUAGAUGAUGGGAGUAGAACCCUGCUGUUUUGACAAAAGUCUCAGGGUUUUAGAUGCCAUUAGUGAUGUCUUGGUAUCUUUCACAGGUCAAGACCUAAAUUUGCUUUGUUGUAACCCAAUGUGUGGUGUGUUCCUGAAUAGAAUUCUUUCCCAGAACUACAGAAGAACGUAACUGCAAGUCCUUUUCAAAGAAGCAGACUUCAAUUCUGGAUCUCUGCAUUGCUGGGGCAGGAAGAACAGGGACAACUUUUUAAGCACCAACUAUGUUUAGUCAACAAAGGGGUCGGGUAGGUUUUUACAGAAUUACA